rnacentral:rRNA from 1 species
AUUAAAAAGCCGUUAAUAACCUCCUGAGUAGUACCUAUAAACUUUAAACUCAAAGAAUUUGGCGGCACCCCUACCCGUUAGAGGAGCCUGCCCCGUAAUCGACGCUCCACGAUUCCAUACACCCCUGUUUAAAGCUUGUAUACCGCCGUUUAGAUUAUAUUUUAAAAUAUAUUCAUAAUGAUCUUAAUAAAUACUUCAGGUCAAGGUGCAGCUAAUGGAGGGGAGGAGGUGGGCUACAUUAACUAUAGUUAUAAGGAUUAAUAAUUUAAAAUUAUUAUAAAAGUGGAUUUAAUUGUAAACAUGACGUUAUUCGGCUUGGCCGGGUUC